UCAACAUUAGGUUUUAGAGUACAAACUAGAUUCUGACCCGCCCUUAAUUGGUAAUUUAAAUAUAGGUCUAAUGACAUAAAACAUAAUAAAUAAUAUUUUAAAUAAUGAUAAAGAUAAAAGAAAUAGUUGUUGGAUCCAACUUUUAUCAAUGGGUCAAACAGGUGUUUUAAUAGAAUAGAUAUUUUUAACUAAUUACGUUAAUAAAUCAAAAUGUUAAUAAAUGUAAAAAAAAUUCUGAUUUUAUUUAAAUCUGAUUACAUAUUUCAUAAUCAAAAUUAUUUAUAUUAGAAUAUUAAACAUAUUAUAAUAUGCACAAAUUCAAUACAAUUAUCAAAACCAUUACUAAUCAUCUAAAAAUAUAUAUAUUUUACACAAAUAUGAUUAUAAAAAAUACAAAUAUGAUGGGGAAAAUUACAUGUUUACCACUUUUAUGCUACCACUUUUCAUUUUUACCACUACUAAAGGGACAUUUUCAAAAAUACCGUCUUCAUUAAGUGACAAAAGACUCUUAUGUCAUUGUUAUUUAUGUAUAUAAUAAAUAAAUAUUUAAAUAAAUAAAAAUCUAAAAAAAUAAAAAAAAUAAUUUUUUAAUUUUUUUUGAAUUAUGCUAUUUCGAAAUUCAAACCCUAAACUCUAAAACUCAACUCUAAACCCUAAACCAUCAAUCCUAAACCCUAUUUUCUUUUUGAAAUACGAACUCUAAACCCAAAACCAUCAAUCCUAAACCCUUUUUUUUUUUGAAAUAUGAACCCUAAACCCUGAAACAUCAACUCUAAACCCUAAACUCCGAAACAUCAACUCUAAACCUUAAACUCUAAACCAUGAACUCUAAACCCAAAAACAUCAAUCCUAAACCCUAAACCAUGAACUUCAACUUUAAACCCCUAAACCAUCAACACUAAACCCUAAACUAUCAACACUAAACCCUAAACCCUAAAAAGUAAACUCAAAACCCUAAACCUUAAAAAAUUAACCCUAAACCCUAAAACAUCAACUCUAAACCCUAAACCCUAAACCUUCAACUCUAAACCCUAAACUCUAAACCCUAAAUCCUAAACCCUAAACCCAAAAACCGUAGAGUUGAUGUUUUACGGUUUAGAUUUGAAUGUUUAGGGUUUUAGGGUUUAGGAUUUUAGGGUUUAGGGUUUACGCUUAGGGUGUAUAGUAGAUAUUUUAGGGUUUAGAUUUGAAGGUUUAGGGUUAUAGGGUUUAGGGUUCGAAUUUCAGAAAAAUCUAGGGUUUAGGGUUUACGUUUAGGGUUUAGAUUUGUUGUUUUAUGGUUUAGAUUUGAAGGUUUAGAGUUUAGGGUUUAGAGUUGAUGUUUCGGAGUUUAGGGUUUAGAGUUGAUGUUUCAUAGUUUAGGGUUUAGAGUUGAUGAUUUAGGGUUUAAAGUUGAUGUUUUAAGUUUAGAUUUAGGGUUUAGGGUUUACAUUUAGGGUUUAGAGUUGAUGUUUUAGGGUUUAGAUUUGAAGGUUUAGGGUUUAGUGUCUAGGGUUUAGAGUUGAUGUUUCGGGGUUUAGGGUUUAGAGUUGAUGUUUCAUGGUUUAGGGUUUAGAGUUUAUGAUUUAGGGUUUAGAGUUGAUGUUUUAAGUUUAGAUUU
rnacentral:lncRNA from 1 species